UACGUAGGGGGCAAGCGUUGCCCGGAUUUAUUGGGCGUAAAGAGCGUGUAGGCGGCCAGACAAGUCUGCUGUGAAAACUCGAGGCUCAACCUCGAGCUGUCGGUGGAAACUGUCUGGCUAGAGUCCGGAAGAGGAGAGUGGAAUUCCUGGUGUAGCGGUGAAAUGCGCAGAUAUCAGGAAGAACACCUAUGGCGAAGGCAGCUCUCUGGGACGGUACUGACGCUGAGACGCGAAAGCGUGGGGAGCGAACAGG
rnacentral:rRNA from 1 species